GAUGAACGCUGGCGGCGUGCCUAAUACAUGCAAGUAGAACGCUGAAGGAGGAGCUUGCUCUUCUGGAUGAGUUGCGAACGGGUGAGUAACGCGUAGGUGACCUGCCUGGUAGCGGGGGAUAACUAUUGGAAACGAUAGCUAAUACCGCAUGACAACAGUUAUUGCAUGAUAACUGUUUAAAAGGGGCAACUGCUCCACUACCAGAUGGACCUGCGUUGUAUUAGCUAGUUGGUGAGGUAACGGCUCACCAAGGCGACGAUACAUAGCCGACCUGAGAGGGUGAUCGGCCACACUGGGACUGAGACACGGCCCAGACUCCUACGGGAGGCAGCAGUAGGGAAUCUUCGGCAAUGGGCGGAAGUCUGACCGAGCAACGCCGCGUGAGUGAAGAAGGUUUUCGGAUCGUAAAGCUCUGUUGUAAGAGAAGAACGAGUGUGAGAGUGGAAAGUUCACACUGUGACGGUAUCUUACCAGAAAGGGACGGCUAACUACGUG
rnacentral:rRNA from 1 species